rnacentral:lncRNA from 1 species
GUCGGACAUGAGGUAAGAGCUCCUCCUCUCCUUGGAUUCUCCUUUAUCUAAAGUUCUUUGUUGUGACAUAAAUCCAUCUUUAGAUCGGGUUGGCUAGAGUCGGGCAGCAACGAUAGGUCAGCGAUGAUAGGAUUGUAGCGACGAGACCAGCAAGACAAGUCUUCAAUCGGAGUUGGCUCCGAUGGGAAUCCUCUGAUACUCAAGUUAAAUCUCUGAAAUAGAUAGAAAGGAGUGAGUGCUUAGGGGGUCCUCUAUAGACCUUUAUUUAUA